UUAGUCGCUUCAGUAACAUCGAUAACUCCACCUGAUUUCAAGCAGAGGAGGAUAUAAUCGGCGCUGAGAGUAUCGAAAUCAAUAUUAGAGAGAGAAUUAGUGGGACCGGAUGGAGUUCGGGGCUCCUUGAUCAAACCAGAAGAUAAAAGGAACUCUAAGAGUUUCCGGCGAUCUCGACGGUAACGCUGCAAAAGAGCUGUGUGCUCCAUCUAUACUUGAAUUAAGCACCAGCUUGAGAGAGAGAGCUUUCUUUCCAGAAGGGUU
rnacentral:misc_RNA from 1 species